GUGAGACUGGUAAACUUAUGAUACGUACGAUGGUCUUUCGUUCUACACGGUGCAUUUCAAGGUCCUGUACCCAUCCGUCGGUAAACUGUACCUGGGCUUGUUGCAGUGACCUGAAGUUACUAAACUUCAUGAGUGUAUGCACUCACUCCAAGAACCGUAUAAUUAUAAAUAUGCAUAUAAAUAUGCUACGAUGAGAUAGCUGACUUCAUCUAACUAGCAAAUGUUGUCCAGGCUACGUUGGUGAUACAGUUUUUUUUAAUAUGUAUGAUAUUUUUGUCAUGUGAUUUUAAAGCCGGUCCUACAACCGCAUCCAAGAAUAACAUGCAGCUUAUCUCAGAACUGUCGGUGAAAAUUAUUCUUGGAGCUAGGUUUAAUUGAGCUGCAUUUUAAAGAGGUGCAAUUUCACAAUUUGUGUAUAUUUUCUAAGUUCACUAUUUUGUCAUGUGUUGAGAAAAACACAGAUUUUAAAAUUACAUGGUCUAAUAUUUACAUUUAGCAUAACUGCAACAUGCUUUUUUUCGUUUUUUUUUUUUUUUUUAAAGACUCGAAAGGACUUGAAAUUCAAAGUUUCAGACUUGUGACUUGACUCGGACUUUUACACCAGUGACUUGAGACUCGACUCUGACUUGCCUGACAUUACUUGAGACUUGACUUGAGACUUGAGGAUAAAGACUUGAGACUUACUUGAGACUUGCAAAACAAUGACUUGGUCCCACCUCUGUCUUAUUGUACCAAACCACAUAGAAUUUAUGGUGCCAGGUGAAAACUCAGCACUGUGGUAGCAUCAGUAAGGCAAUGUCAAAUUACUAUCCUACUCUAUUCUUAUAAUCAGAAAGAAUAUGGUGUUCAGAAGAGGAACUGGCAGCAAGGUUCAACACCUUUCUUCCUUUAAGACACUGAAGAGAGUUGCUUUCUGUCCACAGGUGUAAUAAUGUAGAAAGUGUGAAAUUGAAAUAGAAAUAUUACAUUCCCUUCUGAACUCUGUACUCAUAGCAUAGAAUAAGCUAAAUCAAUAUUAUAUGGUGCUUCAGUGACAACAGUGAGUGUGACUGCAUUCUGAACAUGCAGCUUCGACAACAUAUUAAAGUUACAGGUAAAACUUAACUGAUUUUUGAAAAUACAAGGAUAAAAUCAGACUAUCAAAUAAAUAAUAAUAAUAAUGGAUUGGAUUUAUAUAGCGCUUUUCAAGGCACCCAAAGCGCUUUACAAUACCACUAUUCAUUCACUCUCACAUUCACACACUGGUGGAGGCAAGCUACAGUUGUAGCCACAGCUGCCCUGGGGCAAACUGACAGAAGCGAGGCUGCCAUAUUGCGCCAUCGGCCCCUCCGGCCAACACCAGUAGGCAAGUAGGGUAAAGU
ensembl:lncRNA